rnacentral:rRNA from 1 species
GAUGAACGCUGGCGGCGUGCCUAAUACAUGCAAGUCGAGCGAACGGACGAGAAGAUUGCUUCUCUGAUGUUAGCGGCGGACGGGUGAGUAACACGUGGAUAACCUACCUAUAAGACUGGGAUAACUUCGGGAAACCGGAGCUAAUACCGGAUGAUAUUUUGAACCGCAUGGUUCAAAAGUGAAAGACGGUCUUGCUGUCACUUAUAGAUGGAUCCGCGCUGCAUUAGCUAGUUGGUAAGGUAAUGGCUUACCAAGGCAACGAUGCAUAGCCGACCUGAGAGGGUGAUCGGCCACACUGGAACUGAGACACGGUCCAGACUCCUACGGGAGGCAGCAGUAGGGAAUCUUCCGCAAUGGGCGAAAGCCUGACGGAGCAACGCCGCGUGAGUGAUGAAGGUCUUCGGAUCGUAAAACUCUGUUAUUAGGGAAGAACAUAUGUGUAAGUAACUGUGCACAUCUUGACGGUACCUAAUCAGAAAGCCACGGCUAACUACGUG